UACGGAGGGUGCAAGCGUUAAUCGGAAUUACUGGGCGUAAAGCGUGCGCAGGCGGUUUGUUAAGUCUGCUGUGAAAUCCCCGAGCUCAACCUGGGAAUUGCAGUGGAUACUGGCAGGCUGGAGUAUGGUAGAGGAAGGUGGAAUUCCCGGUGUAGCAGUGAAAUGCGUAGAGAUCGGGAGGAACACCAGUGGCGAAGGCGGCCUUCUGGACCAAUACUGACGCUCAUGCACGAAAGCGUGGGGAGCAAACAGG
rnacentral:rRNA from 1 species